rnacentral:lncRNA from 1 species
CGGGUACACAUCCUACUCUUAAGCCCAAUUUAAAACAUUUAACAUGAAUCAACAUUUAUUAAGCCCAAUAUACAUAUAGAAACCCCGUUGGUAUCGUCAUACCAACCCCACUUGAAGGCAUACAACAUGCCAAGACUAUUAUUACAUCAAUUGGGGACUCAAACCCAAUAUUAAAAAAGGGACAUCAAUGAAUCCGUCAAAUUGGGACUCAAACCCAUAAGACAACCCCCUCCCCCCCCA